UUUACUAGGUGGUAGCCAUGCUCUGGACGUACCUGCUGUCUCCCAGAGCUGUUAUAGACAAAGCCUUCAAAAGGGAACAUUCCAAUUCUCUCUUUUUCUAGCCCAGAAAAACAUUCAGCAGCUCUUCCUUAUGGAUUUAAUGGGAGCUCUCAGCUGUUGUGUGUUUCAAAUCAGCUCAGAAUUCUGAUAAAGGGAAAACACCCUUUUUCUAUAGAUCUCUUGGGAAACAGGUUGGGGUGUUGGACUUCCCAUGGUGUGCAGGAGGGAGAGCUGUUUUGUGCUGCUUUACAGGUAUGUAAAAUAUCUCUUUGCAUCAGAGAUUUAUUAAUAUACAAGAAAACAAAUACUGGUGCCAAUCAGUGGGGGGGGUGUUGGUGUCUUUGACUUCAUUCAGUUGUGAAGGCUGUCUUGAGCACAAAGCAUGCAUCCCAACAGCUUUAAGAAGGUCUAGUCUGGUGAUGCUGCUUCUUUUUGUAAGCACUAAGAGCUUAGGAAAGGCAGGAUUGUUCCCUUGAGCUGGAAGCCAUGUGAGCUCUCUGCUUUCCUGCAGUCUGGGAGUAUUUUGCCACUGACAACUAUUUCAUAACAAGAGUCCUGUCUAUACCUGUGCAUCCUAACAAACGCUGUGAGUUAAUAGGGGCCAGUAGGUACUUUAAGAUCAAUUGAAGUACUCAGUCAGUUUAUUAAAGAAAUAGACCAGAGCCUGAGCUAUUGGCUAAUAAACAAAUGAAUUUAAACUGUUACCUUUUCAAGCUCCACAGCACCAAUUGCUGCAGCAUCCCAGGUCUCUGUAAUGACCCCUACAAACACUUGCUGCACUUACGGGCUCUUCUGGAAGCUGUUUUGUGAGUCUUGGUGGAGGGUGGCUGUGUGCGUGCACUGUGUGGCCAGGAUGGAAACAGGCUGAUACCCCAGGAGAGAACAGGAGGGCUUCUGGGAUCAAAGUGGAUCCCAAGCUCAAGGUUUAGUAUUCAGUUUGCUCUGAAGAAAUGUACUUAAGUUGUUGCUGAGAUGCUUCUGCUGUCAUUGCCCCAUGGAGCCGUGCAUGCUGCUGUGUUGCAUUACUGACUGCAUCCGACUGCAUCCCCCUGCAUCUGCCCUGUGAGAGGGGCUGAGGCCUGGUACGCAGGGAAAGACUGUAGCAAAGGGGAUGGACAUUAGUUAUGUAUACACUUGUUUGUAUAUAUAUAUAUAAUGUAUAUAUGUUUAAAAUAGUACACAUUAUAUUUUGGUUUAUACAUACACAAGAUAUACAUGUAUCACUUAUGUUUAUUAUAUAUAAGCUAUAUAUAAAAUCUCUCUGUGUACAUAUACAGAUGUAGAAUCUCCUCCAGUUUUUACUGUCCUGAUAUGCCUCACUUACAAACUCUGUCUUGCUUCUGCAUGGUUUCCUAGGCCAUUUUUGGCUACAGUAAACAGUGCAGAUCCCUGUGUACAUCCUUUCUCUGUAGAAAAACUGGGGCUUGUUCCAAACCUGAUGGGUUUGGGGUUUUUCAUCCCUCUAGUUAUUAAUGAAUUAAAGGAUCCUGCCUCUCCUCCUGUGACAUCCUAGUGGCUUUAAGUGCUUUUUGAGAGGGCCUUUGUCAGAAGCCCUUUGGCAUCAAAAUGCUGCUAAAUGGAGUAGGUAAUCACUGUGCUGGUCGCUGCUGCUUGUGUGAUGGUGCUGUUUUCUGCCAGGAGCCAUUCUGCUCCCUCCCUGCUGAUGAUGCUGCUCUCGACACAGCUUCCCCCAGUUUUCCAUGAGUCCUGGAGAUGCUCUGGGUGAACUGGGUUUCAAGGAGGGGCACAACCCCAAAUCCUCCCCUAUGGUGAGUGGACUGACUCAAGGAGCCACCACAAAGCCCCAGCCAGCUGAGCCCCCAGACCUGCAGUAUGGGGUGAGCAGGGGAGUCCUGGGAAGUGCCCUUCCCAGGGUAGCCAUGCUGCGGGUGGAACUUGAGGAUACAGGCUGGUGAUGAAUGGUGCCUGUACGGGGAUAACUGGAGUUGUUCACACACAGAGAUGUAUAGCACAAUACAGUGUGUGUUAGCCCAACCAAACCCCAGCUCCCAAUGCUCCGCUUUUAGGCAUUAAUAGUGUGAGACACAAAACAGCCCUGACUUGUCAUUUGGAAUAAAUACCCUACAUUAAGUAUAUCAUCA